UCUCCGAUAGCUCAGCAGGUAAAGAAUCCGCCUGCAAUGCAGAAGACCCAGGUUCGAUCCCUGGGUCGGGAA
rnacentral:tRNA from 1 species